rnacentral:rRNA from 1 species
GACGAACCGUGCAAACGUUAUUCGGAAUCACUGGGCUUAAAGGGUGCGUAGGCGGGCGUUCAAGUCAGUGGUGAAAUCCCCCGGCCCAACCGGGGAACUGCCGCCGAUACUGAUCGUCUCGAGGGAGGUAGGGGUGUGUGGAACUUCCGGUGGAGCGGUGAAAUGCGUAGAGAUCGGAAGGAACGCCGGCGGCGAAAGCGACACACUGGAUCUCUUCUGACGCUGAGGCACGAAAGCCAGGGGAGCAAACGGG